AUGGACUUCCCUGAGGAGGAGUGGAGGCAACUAGACCCCGCACAAAGGGCCCUAUAAAAAGAGGAAAAAUCCUGUGAAAUGAAAUUAUGUGCCAGGCUCUGGACUGACAAUCUCCAACGAAGGUUGAUUCUAUCACAAAGAGGCUUAUGUUAAACAUAACCAAUAAGUUACCCGGCACCAGUGACAAGCAAGGAUUUCCUCCUGGAAAGAUGCCCCUUACCUGGCAAAGGCCCUUCUAGACUGAAAGCCUCCCAGCUCUAAUUGAGCAUCUCCCCGUCCAUCAUGUCACCAGGCUGCUGGUGGAUUACAGAAAUCUCCAGCUCUUCCCUUUUUUCUGUUUUUAGCACCCCAGAGCAGAGGUAGCGUGUGCAAUGGUCAAAAGCACGGACUCUGCAGCCAGACGGCCUGUGGUGGAUAUGCAGCUCUGGUGUUGAUCGCUAGCUGUGGGACCCUGGACCUUGAUUCCUGAAUUCUUGUGUGUCUUGAUUUUUCUAUUUAUAAAAUAGGGAUGAUAAUAUCUAUUUCAUGGGGUUAUUAUAAGGAUCAGAUUAGUUAAUAUUUGUAGAAUGGUUACAAUAAUCCUUGGCACAUGAUAAGCCUUAUAGAAGAGUUUCUUAUAGAAGUAAAUUAAUCCCUCAGUGUGUGGGUAGUAAGUUCUUUAUUUCUUCUUUAUUCUUGAAUUAUAGCAUAGCUAGGUAUAACAUUCUAAAUUGACAUUUAUUUUUACUUAGUAGUUCCUUAGCCUCUGGGGCUGCUUUUUAAAGUCCCCAAUCGGGGUGCCUGGGUGGCUCAGUCGGUUU